AUGCUGGCUUUCCAAGACCGAGUACUCCCCGAGUAGUCGCUACAAGGUAGGCUGCCGAGGCGACUUUCUUCGACUCUGCCUAAUUACUCGGAGUCGGUCAAACGCGGUCAACCUUGGCCAUAAUUGGAUCUAGUAGGUCAACUCGGGCCUAGUUUGACUUAAAUAAUAAUAAAACAUAAUUUCUAUGCCUAUCAUAUUAAGGAAUGAAUAUCAUUUUCACAUAUUUUGUUAUAAAUAUUAGUAAAUUUAUGUUAUUUGACGUAUAUUUAAUCUCCAAAAAGUAAUUUCUUUAUAAUUUAACAUGUCCGAGUACUCCCCGAGUACUCUCCGCCUAGACCGAGUACUGUCAACUCCCCGUUCGACCGACUAGGGAGCGCCUAGCGACUUUUGCAACUAUACUUUAAACAUAUCUCAUUCAUUCCAACAAGGGGGCACGACGUAGGGGACAAAUUUUGGGGGGUUUUCCUUGGAGUUUCUUCAUCAUUCUAUACCAUCUAAUUAUUAUUCAAUCAUCAAUCAUGCAUUCCAAUAUCAAGAUUGAAGAUUAAUUCACAAGCUUGAGCAGCUAAUUGCUUUGCGGUUUCCCCCGAGGCUAGGGUUUUGUAAGUAGAUGAACUAAUUCAAUCUGUCUUUAUGUUUGGGAUUAGCAAUCUAAGCAUUCAAUGCUUUUUACUAUUUGAUUCAUUAAUGUGAUUGUAACCGGUUGAGUUUUAUUCAAUAUCAUUUCGUUUUUCUU
rnacentral:lncRNA from 1 species